GCCGGGUGCAGUGGCUCUUGCUUGUAAUCCUAGCCCUUUGGGAGGCUGAGAUGGGAGGAUCACUUGAGGCCAGGAGUUCAAGACCAGCCUGGUCAACAUAGUGAUACUCCAUCUCUCUAAAAAAAAUUUUUUUCUUUAAAGCAAGUUAUGGCCAGGCGUGGUGGCUCACGCCUGUAAUCUCAGCACUUUGGGAGGCCUAGGUGGGUAUAUCACCUGAGGUCAGGAGUUCAAGGCUAGCCUGGUCAACAUAGUGAUACCCCAUCUCU
rnacentral:sRNA from 1 species